UAUAUACUCUCUCCGCCCGAAAAUACUUGUCGGACAAAUGGAUGUAUCUAGACAUAUUUUAGUUCUAUAUACAUCCGUUUUAUCCAUUUUGAUGAAGACUAAUUCUGGACGGAGGAAGUACAUA
rnacentral:pre_miRNA from 1 species